rnacentral:tRNA from 1 species
UCCCUGCUGGCUCAGUCAGUAAAGAAUCUGCCUGCAAUGCUGAAGAUCUGGGUUCCAUCCCUGGGUUGGGAA